AUGGAACCCUCGUUCGAUGACGUCCCCGAGGUCGUCGGCUGGAUGUCGUCGAUGGUCGACCGCGGCGGCCGCGCGAGCCAGGAGAGCCACCGGCUGUUCCUGGCGCGGCGCACGGCGCUCGAGAUGCUGCGGGACCGCGGGUACAGCGUGCCGGAGUCCGAGCUCGCCCGCACGCUCCCGGAGUUCCGUGCGUGGUGGGCUCCGGAGCCCGAGGUCGAGCGCCUCACCUUUUCCACCUUCCUCGCCUCCGACCAUUCCGACAAGGUGAAAAUUCUAUUCUGUGGACCAGAACCUGUCAAAAUCGCAACUAUCCAGGAGAUAUAUGACCAGAUCGAAGGAGAGAACUUGUCCAGACUUAUUUUGAUAUUGCAGGGAAAGAUAAUGCCUAGAGCUAAAGAGUCUGUUAAGGAGAAAUUCACAUUUAAAGUAGAUAUUUUUCAGGUCAAUGAGUUACUGGUUAACAUUAGUAAGCAUGCCCUGAAGCCCAAGCAUGAAGUGUUGACUGCAGAAGAAAAGGCCAGGCUCCUGAAGAAGUACAAUGUGCAGGAUUCACAGCUCCCUCGCAUGCUAGAGACCGAUCCUGUUGCUCGCUACUAUGGCCUCGGCAAGGGAACCGUGCUUAAAGUUACAUAUGACAGUGAGCUUACUGGGAACCAUGUGACAUACCGAUGUAUUUUCUGA
rnacentral:rRNA from 1 species